rnacentral:rRNA from 1 species
GUGCAGCAGGCGCGAAACUUUACAAUGUGCGAAAGCACGAUAAGGGAACUCUGAGUGCCUCCUAAGGAGGCUGUUCAGGUGUCUAAAAGCACCUGAAGGAAGGGCUGGGUAAGACCGGUGCCAGCCGCCGCGGUAACACCGGCAGCCCAAGUGGUAGCCACGUUUAUUGGGUCUAAAGCGUCCGUAGCCGGCUGGGGUAAGUUCCUUGGGAAAUUUGGCUGCUUAACAGUCAAGCUUUCAGGGAAUACUGCCCGGCUUGGGACCGGGAGAGGUCAGAGGUACUCCAGGGGUAGGGGUGAAAUCCAUUAAUCCUUGGGGGACCACCGGUAGCGAAGGCGUCUGACCAGACCGGGUCCGACGGUGAGGGACGAAGGCUAGGGGCGCGAACC